GACGAACGCUGGCGGCGUGCCUAAUACAUGCAAGUCGAGCGGACAGAAGGGAGCUUGCUCCCGGAAGUUAGCGGCGGACGGGUGAGUAACACGUGGGCAACCUACCCUGUAGAUCGGGAUAACAUCGAGAAAUCGGUGCUAAUACCGGAUAAUCAUUUGAAGUGCAUGCUUCGAAUGUAAAAGAUGGCUCCGGCUAUCACUACGGGAUGGGCCCGCGGCGCAUUAGCUAGUUGGUAAGGUAAUGGCUUACCAAGGCAACGAUGCGUAGCCGACCUGAGAGGGUGACCGGCCACACUGGGACUGAAACACGGCCCAGACUCCUACGGGAGGCAGCAGUAGGGAAUCUUCCGCAAUGGACGAAAGUCUGACGGAGCAACGCCGCGUGAGUGAUGAAGGUUUUCGGAUCGUAAAGCUCUGUUGUUAGGGAAGAACAAGUGCCGUUUGAAUAAGGCGGCACCUUGACGGUACCUAACCAGAAAGCCACGGCUAACUACGUGCCAGCCGCCGCCGUAAGAC
rnacentral:rRNA from 1 species